rnacentral:rRNA from 1 species
UACGGAGGGUGCGAGCGUUGUCCGGAAUCACUGGGCGUAAAGGGCGCGUAGGCGGCAUGCCAAGCGUGUGGUGAAAGCCCGGGGCUCAACCCCGGGUCGGCCGUGCGGACUGGCGUGCUCGAGCACUGUAGGGGCAGGCGGAAUUCCGGGUGUAGCGGUGGAAUGCGUAGAGAUCCGGAGGAAGACCGGUGGCGAAGGCGGCCUGCUGGGCAGUUACUGACACUGAUGCGCGACAGCGUGGGGAGCAAACAGG